AAACUCUGGUUUCUUUUCAUAUCGUAUAAAUCUUUCGCCUUUUACUAAAGAUUUCCGUGGAGAGGAACAUUAUGAGUAUAAUCUAAUUUUUUUAACGCUCCGCCUCCGGGCGGGGCA